rnacentral:rRNA from 1 species
UACGGGGGGGGUAAGCGUUGUUCGGAAUUACUGGGCGUAAAGGGCUCGUAGGCGGCCAACUAAGUCAUACGUGAAAUCCCUCAGCUUAACUGGGGAACUGCGUGUGAUACUGGAUGGCUUGGAUUUGGGAGAGGGAUGCGGAAUUCCAGGUGUAGCGGUGAAAUGCGUAGAUAUUGGGAGGAACACCAGUGGCGAAGGCGGCUCACUGGCCCGGUACUGACGCUGAGGUGCGAAAGCGUGGGGAGCAAACAGG